rnacentral:tRNA from 1 species
GCCUGGGUGGCUCAGUCGGUUGAGCAACCAACUUCAGCUCAGGUCAUGGUCUCACGGUUUGUGGGUUCAAGCCCCACAUCAGGCA